rnacentral:lncRNA from 1 species
CGAUGUGUUCAUCGGUGUACUAUAUCCCCCACAUGGUUGCCUUUAGGACACUUAUUGUUGAGGAAGCCCCUCUGCCGUAAUGUCCGUCUCGAUGAAAAUCCUAGAUUAGGUCCCUUGAGAUAGAUGUUGUUUUAGGGACGUAAAGUGAAGAUAACGGGAAUGGGUAAUCGGGUUAUUGUUGGUUGGUAAAAAUAAAUAUAAUUAUUUAUUGCGGGUUGAAAACCCUAUAUGGUCACCAGGCUCCCAAGCCUAACCCACUCCGUUUAUUUGUAUUACAGGAAGUGACGCAAGGGCAUAAGAUGGAUGAAUCAUCAAGUUGUUUUGUUUACAAGUUUGUAUAUGUAUAUAUUUGUUGCAUGACUUGUAAUGUUAUCGUUUAUGCUUUAUGGUCUGUAUCGGAACAUGACAUCCCGAUUUUUGAUUAUGAAAUGAAAUUAUAUUUCUUUAUGAAAUGUUUUGAUAAAAAUCUAUUUUAUCAUGUUUUGUUUUGGGGAACAAAUUCUGCAACUCUUUUAAAUCAAAAGAAUUUACUAUGAAAAUGUUUAAAAAGCAUAAAUGAAACCGGUAUUUUCUAGCCGAGAUUUUGGGGAUGUUAAAGUUGGUGUCAGAGCAUUAGUUUAAGCGAACUAGAAUUUGUAGGAUUUUAGACUUAAACUUAGAAUGCUAAGUGAAGGUUGUUAGUUGUGUGUCUGUUAUAUUUCAGACACGAACACUAGUUUAUUUUAGGAAAUUUGCCUAAAAUGUUUUUAUGUGCUAAAUGUUAUAUGUUGCCAUAUAUGAUAUUAUUUGUUCGGAUCUAUGGUCUGUUGCCGACCAGAUCUGGAAACCUUAUGUGUGUAGGAUUCUAAGCGUAUGUCUACGUUAUUAGAACUAGCAUGUAAUCGUUUGGAGUAAUAAGGAUGAAUUGAAAUUAUAUCGUGAAAGAGGGUCUAGUUUCACCUUAUUCGGUGUAUAGAUAAAAAAUGGUGAGAACAAGAAGCGUAGCUGGAAACGUUGACCAAAACAGGAAUCAACCGCCUGUAGUCGAGCAAGCACCUGUGAUUGAACAAGUACUUGUCGUAGCAGCAACACCUGAGCUGAUAACAAUGGCUGGCGUACAAAUGAUGAUUCAAACGAUGUUGGAUCGUCAGAUGGAAGAAACAAGACGUCUGCUUAGGCAUAAUCGUGAAGAACCAUCAAUUCAAGUGGAAGAGCCCGAGGAGAAUGAAGGGCAGUCUGAAGGAGGAAACUUUAGUGGGAUCGUUGGUCAAGACGACCUACCGGUGGUUAGACACAACAACUAGUAUGGAGGAAAUGAUGGGNACAAGGAUUUAUGGCAUCCAAACCACCAUGUCUAUCCAGAAGCCCGACGCCGGUGCAAGUUAUGGACUGGAUCUCCGAAAUGGAGACAAUGUUUGAAAGUUGCGAAUGCAGCAACAGGCAGAAGACCGCUCUUGCGAUCCCUCUGCUAAAAUCUGGCGUGUUGAGUUGGUGGAAGUUGUUUGCCAACUCUAUGCCAAGGGAGAAGCGAGCAAAAUUAUUGGGAAGACUUUGUGGAGCAACUGAAACUGCAAUACUGCUCCGAGCAGGACCUUCUGGAAAUCAAUAAUGAGUUUCAAAAUUUGAACAAGGGGAAGUUGAGCGUUACUGAAUACGCUGCUAGUUUCACAGAAAAUAUGAAGCUUAUCCCAUAUUUAGUACCAACAAAACUCUCUAAGGUCAACAAGUUUGCCCUCGGAUUACCAGCGGACUAUGGUCCAAUGGUUAAGCAAGCAACCACAUUGAAAGCUGCCAUCUGGGCUGCUAUAAAUAUUGAGACCCAGAUCAGGGAGAAAGGUCUGGAGAGGUCAGAGGUUGGUGAAAAGAGGAAAAGCGAUGGACCCUCAGGGUCGAGCAAAAAGGGUAAAUUCGCGAAGUCUAGUUCGAGAGGAGGUGGAGAAGGCGAAGUGAAAUGGUGCGAAAAAUGCAAGAAGAAGCAUCAUGGGAAGUGUGGCGGGGAAGCCACAUGCUUCAAAUGUGGAAAGCCAGGGCAUUAUGCCAACGAAUGCACCCUCACCAAGAAAGUUUGCUAUGGUUGCGGUGAGGAGGGGCACAUAUCGAGGGAUUGUCUGAAAAAGAAGGAGGCAGCAAAACCAACAUUCCGCCAAAGCCGAAGGCAAGAGCCUUCCAGAUGACACUGGAAGUUGCUAAAGAUGAAGCUGAUGUCGCUUCAGGUACCUUUCUCGUAAACAAAUUGCCUGCCCAAAUUUUAUUUGAUUCUGGAGCCAACUAUUCCUCUAUUUCGCAUGAAUUUGGUAGAAAACUAGCUUUGCCUGUCGAUUGACUAGAUAAUGCUUUAUUAGUCGAAGUUGCUAGUGGCAAGUUUGUACCUGUUAGCUAUCGUAUGAAAAAAAUCUUAAUCGACUUGAAUGGGAAUAAGUUCCACGAGGAAUUAUUGCCUAUAGAACUGAACGGUUUCGACAUCGUUUUGGGAAUGGAUUGGCUUAGUGCCAAUGACGCCGAAAUAUUGUGCAGAAAGAAGAUAGUCAAAGUAAACCCGCCAGGGAACGAGUCAUUUAUGGUGUAUAGGGACAAACGCAGAGUAAGUUCUGGGAUCAUUUCUCUAAUGAAAGCCAGAAAGUGUUUGGCCAAAGGAUGUACAUCAUAUUUGGAAUUCGUGAUCGAUACUAAGAAGGAGAAAAAGGAGAUGCGGAGCAUUCCUGUCAUAUGUGAUUAUCCGGAAGUAUUUCCCGAAGAUCUUCCUGGAUUACCGCAUGAUCGGCAAGUAGAAUUACGUAUCGACUUGUUGCCCGGAACGACGCCUAUAGCAAAAGCACCUUAUCGAUUAGCACCGACAAAGAUGAAGGAGCUGAUGAUGCAACUUCAAGAGUUAUUGGACAAAGGUUUCAUUAGACCUAGUUCAUCGCCCUGGGGAGCUCCGGUGUUAUUCGUGAAGAAGAAAGAUGGAAGUAUGAGAAUGUGCAUCGAUUACAAAGAGCUGAACAAGGCAACAAUAAAGAAUAGAUAUCCGUUGCCGAGGAUUGAUGACCUGUUUGAUCAAUUGCAAGGUUCGAGCUAUUUCUCGAAGAUCGAUCUUAGGUCAGGAUAUCAUCAGCUAAAAGUAAGAGAGCAAGAUAUCGAGAAGACUGCAUUCAGAACUAGAUAUGGACACUACGAGUUCUUGGUUAUGUCGUUUGGACUAACCAAUGCUCCAGCAGCGUUCAUGGAUUUGAUGAAUAGGGUUUGUAAUCCGUUCCUUGAUAAAUCCGUGAUAGUGUUCAUAGACGACAUUCUGAUUUACUCGAAAAGCCAGGAGGAGCAUGGCAGACACUUGCGAGAAGUGUUAGAAGUCUUGAAGAAGGAGAAGCUGUAUGCUAAGUUCUCCAAAUGUGAUUUUUGGAUUUGAGAAGUCCAAUUCUUGGGUCAUGUGGUCAACCAAGAAGGUAUAAUGGUUGAUCCAGCAAAUAUUGAAGCUGUAAGGAAGUGGGAACAACUAAAAAGUCCCACGGAGAUCCGAAGCUUUUUGGGAUUAGCCGGAUAUUACCGAAGGUUUAUCCAAGGCUUUUCUUCGAUCACUAGUCCAUUAACUGCUUUGACCCACAAAGGAGCUACUUAUGCUUGGAGUGAUAAGCAUAAAGAAGCAUUCGAGAAGCUAAAGAAGAAGUUAUGCGAGGCACCAAUUUUAUCUCUACCCGAUGGAGUUGAAGACUUCGCUGUUUAUAGCGAUGCGUCUGGUGUUGGAUUGGGUUGUGUUUUGACUCAAAGAGAUAAGGUGAUCGCAUAUGCGUCUCAACAGCUAAAAGAGCACGAGAAGAACUACCCCACUCAUGAUUUGGAGUUGGCAGCGGUAGUUUUCGCUCUGAAAAUAUGGAGGCAUUACCUCUAUGGCACGAAGUGCAAACUUUUCACUGAUCAUAAGAGUCUCCAAUAUCUCUUUAGUCAGAAGGAAUUGAAUAUGAGGCAACGACGCUGGCUAGAAUUACUUAAAGACUACGACUGCGAGAUACUUUACCACCCCGGUAAAGCUAAUGUUGUUGCUGAUGCUCUCAGUCGGAAAGUCAAUCUUGAAAGGAAAAGGCCAAGAGCGUUGAGAAUUGAAGUUGUCUCGACAAAUGUGGAGAGUAUAAAGAAAGCUCAAGAGGAAGCUUCUGAAAAGAAUGACCGGAAGGGGGAACGUUUGGGCAAAACAUUGGUGUUCGGUACAAAUGGUCAUGGACUAAAGGUAUUCCAAGACCGGUUUUGGGUACCUAAGUCAGGAGGAAUAAGAGAUCUUCUGAUGGAAGAAGCUCACAAAACCAUGUACUCCAUUCAUCCCGGUAGCACAAAGAUGUAUAGGGACCUGAAACCCUAUUAUUGGUGGCCGACGAUGAAGCUCGACAUUGCGAAGUAUGUGGCGGAGUGUGUAACCUGUGCGAGAGUCAAGGCACAACAUCAGAAACCAUACGGGAGUUUAGAACCUUUACCUGUGCCUAUGGGUAAGUGGGAAGACAUUGCUAUGGAUUUUGUCACUAAACUGCCCAGAACAAAGAAUGGUCACGACAUGAUUUGGGUGGUCGUUGAUCGAUUCACUAAGAGUGCGCAUUUCAUAGAAGCCAACGAGAAAUGGUCUAUGGAGAAGAUUGCGAAUUCUUACGUGAAGGAAAUUAUGAGGCUUCACGGUGUUCCGCUAACGAUUAUGUCGGAUCGUGACAGCCGUUUCACCUCAAGAUUUUGGAAAAGUCUACAAGAGGAAAUGGGUACCAAGUUGUGUUUGAAUACAGCUUACCAUCCACAGACUGAUGGUCAGAGCGAACGAACGAUACAAACGGUUGAAGAUAUGCUAAGAGCAUUAACCCUAAAAUUCCAAGGUAACUGGGAUGAACAUUUACCUUUGGUAGAAUUUUCCUACAAUAAUAGUUUCCACUCGAGAAUUAAUAUUGCACCUUAUCAAGCUUUAUACGGACAGAAGUGUCGUACGCCGUCUUGUUGGCUUGAGGCUGGGGAAAGAAGUUUAUGGGACCAGAGAUAGUCCAUCAAACUGCUGAAAAGUUGAAAAUAAUUAGGGAGAGAAUGUUAGCAGCUCAGGACCGUCAAAAGAGCUAUGCUGACAAAAAGCGAAGACCGAUGACUUUUGAAGUUGGAGAUUCGGUUUUGCUUAAAGUCUCGCCGUGGAAGGGACUUAUAAGAUUUGGUAAAAGGGGAAAGUUAAGUCCAAGGUUUAUUGGACCGUUUAAAGUUCUUCAGAGGAUUGGGAACCAAGCUUACAAGCUCGAACUACCAGAAGAACUGAAUGGAAUUCAUAACACUUUUCAUGUGUGUUAUUUGNGACAUGAUUCCACUUUCGGAGUUGAGAAUCGAUGACAACAAAAGGUUGAUUGAAGAACCAGAGGCAAUCGUUGACCGAAAGACUAAGAACUUGCGAUGCAAGAUGGCCGAGUCAGUACUUGUCCGAUGGAAACACAUGAAUGGGCCAAAUCUCACUUGGGAGACGGAGAGUGACAUAAUGAGUCGCUACCCGCAUUUGUUUGUUGAUGUGUGAUUAUGGGGACGAAAACAUUCUAAGGUGGAGAGAAUUGUAAUGCCCGUGUUUAUGGGCUUGUCAUUAAAAGCAAUGUAAUAGUCUAGGUUAACCUUUGUAACCCAUUUUGAAAUAAUAUAAAUGUAUUAUUUGAGUAUUAUGUGUUUUGUGCUAAAUUGUGUGUCUUAAUUGAAUUAAGAAUAAAAAUAAAAAAUAAGCGUCAAAAUUUAAGUGUAAAAUAAACUUAAUAUCUUUGGUUAAUGUUGUAGUAGUCGAAACGAGGUUUCCGAANAAAGAAUGUUGAAAUCCGAGUUAUAACGAAGAAGUUAUGACCUGUCGAAGUUUCGCGAAAAAACUGGUGUGGCACAACAUGACGUAAAUAGUGAAUUUACGAAGGAGUGAUAUUUAGCCUUAGCGAUCUAAACGAAAGUCGUAGAGUUCGUUAAACCGAGAGGGUGCAUAAAAAGAUCGUCCAAAAUCUGACUUCGUAUGAGGAAGUUAUGAUUUUUCGAAGUUUUAGCUUAGCUGUAGACAGCCCAAAAGUUCGAAUUGAGAUUGAGCGAGUUUUAGCCGAAACAAUCUAAACGAGAAUCGAAGAUCUCGUUGAUAGUAGUGCUUUGGUGAAAAGACAGACAAAAACGGACGUCAGACGAAAAAGUUAUGAAUUUCUAACGAAGUUUUUCUGUCCCGGCCUACUAAAAAUAAAUAAUAAAAAUUAAAUUCAAAAUUAGCCGACAGAGUCUAAAUGAAAGUUGUAGAGUAUGGUCUGAACUACGCGUGGAUAUAAAGAAGGUAAAAAACGGAGCUCGUAUGCGAAAGUUACGCAAUUUAGAAGUUUGACGAGUCAAAUUACGCCGAGCGUAAUUUGAGUACACCCACCGUACUCGGAUGAGUGCAACUUGCCUAACCAAUACUCGAGUGCCACCAAGUGACGCAUGCAGUGACGUUUAGUACGCCUAACGUAAGGUCUGGUGCGCCCAGCGUAAUCCCAGACCCAACAACCUAUAAAUAGAAACCGAGAUCAGCCAUUUUCCUUGCUAAUUUUCUUCCUUUCUCUCUAAGUUUUGCAUUGUUUUGCGUGCCAAUUAUAUCCCAAAGCCCCCGCAUCAUUCCCGAGUCCUGAAGCAAGUUUCGAAGUCCCGAAGAUCUUGAGAAGUGAGCUUCCUGAGCCGAAGCUCUGCCCGCGAGGAGCCUGAUUUUUGUGAAGAUCUUCCAGAUCUACCGAAGAAUACUACAUCUACAAGUCGUAGUACUGUCCGAUCAUCUUCUGAUCAGGUGAGUGUGUAGUUACCUUCUUCUAACGCAUAAUUAUGAAGUAUUUUAUACGAAAUAUGUGUUAUGUGUAUAUUUUGUUGUUAUAUGUAUGAAAGUAUAUUCACUUUCUUCUAUCUCAUAGAUAUGAUUUAUCAUCUAUGAAAUACGUGUUAUGUGUAUGUGUCUCAUCUGUUGUUUGGAAUAUGUAUUGAAUGAGAAUGCUAUACAGGUUUUAAACUAUGUAUAAAAAUAUAUAUUUUUAUCUACUAAUAUGUUGGGUAGAACAUGGGUAGAUAGUUGAUGUGUGAUAAACAGAUGAGAGGCCUCGAUGUUGUUGUUGUUGAUCUAGUUAUUCAGCAGAGUAUGGAUAACGACCACAGACUCUUUCUAGACAGUCCUGUGGAAUGCUAGCAGGUUCAUAACCUGUAGGUGUUGUGAACGAUGUGUUCACCGNCGCCCACAUGGUUGCCUUUAUGACACUUAUUGUUGAGGAAGCCCCUCUGCCGUAAUGUCCGUCCCAAUGAAAAUCUUAGAUUAGGUCCCUUGAGAUAGAUGUUGUUUUAGGGACGUAAAGUGAGGAUAACGGGAAUAGGUAAUCGGGUUAUUGUUGGUUGGUAAAAAUAAAUAUAAUU